rnacentral:lncRNA from 1 species
UGAGAAGAGGAAGUAAAUGAGGCAGAGGGGGCACAACCAAGAUGAGAGAAAGGCAGCAGGUGUCCAGGAAAGCCUGGGAGAAGGGCUGGGCUCUGCACACCUCUCUGUCCCCCACAUCCUCCAUCUGCAGGGGGCCUCCUGCACCCCUCAACUCACCUUGGGUCAGUCCCUGGGCUCCUCUCCCUCCUAGAGCCACUCUUCCUGGUGCCGGACUAAGAGGUGCAGGCUUGGAGGGUGCAGGGCGGUCCGCCU